UUCGAUUAGAGUUUGAUCAUGGCUCAGAUUGAACGCUGGGGGCAUGCUUUACACAUGCAAGUCGAACGGUAACAGGGAGCUUGCUCCGCUGACGAGUGGCGAACGGGUGAGUAAUAUAUCGGAACGUACCCAAGAGUGGGGGAUAACGUAGCGAAAGUUACGCUAAUACCGCAUACGAUCUAUGGAUGAAAGCAGGGGACCGCAAGGCCUUGUGCUCCUGGAGCGGCCGAUAUCUGAUUAGCUAGUUGGUAGGGUAAAGGCCUACCAAGGCAUCGAUCAGUAGCUGGUCUGAGAGGACGACCAGUCACACUGGAACUGAGACACGGUCCAGACUCCUACGGGAGGCAGCAGUGGGGAAUAUUGGACAAUGGGCGAAAGCCUGAUCCAGCCAUGCCGCGUGUGUGAAGAAGGUCUUCGGGUUGUAAACUGCUUUUGUCAGGGAAGAAAUCUUCUGGGUUAAUACCUCGGGAGGAUGACGGUCCCUGAAGAAUAAGCACCGGCUAACUACGUGCCAGCAGCCGCGGUAAUACGAAUCACUAGUGAAUUCGCGGCCGCCUGCAGGUCGACCAUAUGGGAGAGCCCCCAA
rnacentral:rRNA from 1 species